GCAGGUCGUAUUCUAGUCCAUUUCCUAGUGAGAACGUCGUAAGAAUGAACCGAAUUGGUGACUCCGGCCAAUCUAAUGCCGGGGGCGGAGGAAGAGCCACCACCCUCAAUGGCGGUGGCACCUCCGAAGAGAAUCAACCGGGGGCCUUGAGCACCAGCCGUUAAGGUAUGACCGCAUCGGGGACCAGGAGCGUCUUCAUCUGCAUCCCAGAACGUCUCCAAGGGACGAUAGGAGGGAGCCGGGUAAAGCCACGGCUUCGAAGCCAUUGCAAAGGCAAGGCAAGGCCACGAGGAUUAAGGAUCACGAAAUCCGAGACUCGUUAAUAAACAGAACAGAGAACCUAAAGAUCGGAGAACCACGGUGGCAGAUGUGGUGAUAGUGGCGGCGCGGCCCGGGCUAAACGCUCCGGACCAACUUUCCUUACUUUUCCGUAUUAUUAUAUAUUUUGUAGCGUAUAAUAAUAAGCAUCA
rnacentral:misc_RNA from 1 species